UACGAGGGGGCAAGCGUUGUUCGGAAUUAUUGGGCGUAAAGGGUGCGUAGGCGGUCUGAUAAGUCAUCUGUGAAAUCUAUGGGCUCAACCCAUAGUCUGCAGGCGAAACUGUCGGGCUUGAGUAUGGGAGAGGUGAGUGGAAUUUCCGGUGUAGCGGUGAAAUGCGUAGAUAUCGGAAGGAACACCUGUGGCGAAAGCGGCUCACUGGACCAUUACUGACGCUGAUGGCACGAAAGCUAGGGGAGCAAACAGG
rnacentral:rRNA from 1 species